CCUUUAAAGAAAGCGUAAUAGCUCACUAGUCGAGUCGGCCUGCGCGGAAGAUGUAACGGGGCUAAGUAAUAUACCGAAGCUGCGGACGCAAAGUUUACUUUGCGUGGUAGGGGAGCGUUGUGUAAGUGGCUGAAGGUGAGCUGAGAGGCGAGCUGGACAUAUCACAAGUGCGAAUGCUGACAUGAGUAACGAUAAGGGGAGUGAAAAACUCCCCCGCCGGAAGACCAAGGUUUCCUGUCCCAUGCUAAUCAGGGCAGGGUAAGUCGGCCCCUAAGGCGAGGCAGAAAUGCGUAGUCGAUGGGAAACGGAUUAAUAUUUCCGUACUUGGUAUAUCAGUGAAGGGGGGACGGAGAAAGUUAUGCAAGCCUGGCGUUGGUUGUCCAGGUGAAAGUGCGUAGAGUUGGACCUUAGGCAAAUCCGGGGUCCUACAUGCUCGAGACACGAGACGAGACUCCAAGGAGUUGAAGUUGCAAAUACUAUGCUUCCAGGAAAAGCCUCUAAACUUAUGAUAUAUCGAACCGUACCCCAAACCGACACAGGUGGUCAGGUAGAGAAUACUAAGGCGCUUGAGAGAACUUGGGUGAAGGAACUCGGCAAAAUCGUACCGUAACUUCGGGAGAAGGUACGCCUCUGUUUGUGAUUGAACUUGCUUCAUGAGCGAACGGGGGCCGCAGUGAAAUGGUGGCUGGAACUGUUUAUUAAAAACACAGCACUGUGCUAAAUCGAAAGAUGACGUAUACGGUGUGACGCCUGCCCGGUGCCGGAAGGUUAAUUGAUGGGGUUAUCUUCGGAGAAGCUCUUGAUCGAAGCCCCGGUAAACGGCGGCCGUAACUAUAACGGUCCUAAGGUAGCGAAAUUCCUUGUCGGGUAAGUUCCGACCUGCACGAAUGGCGUAAUCAUGGCCACGCUGUCUCCACCCAAGACUCAGUGAAAUUGAAAUUGCAGUGAAGAUGCUGUGUACCCGCACCUAGACGGAAAGACCCCGUGAACCUUUACUACAGCUUGGCACUGAACAUUGACCCUACAUGUGUAGGAUAGGUGGGAGACUAUGAAGCAUUGUCGCCAGAUGAUGUGGAGUCAACCUUGAAAUACCACCCUUGUAGGUUUGAUGUUCUAACAUAGGUCCCUUAUCGGGAUUGUGGACAGUGUCUGGUGGGUAGUUUGACUGGGGCGGUCUCCUCCCAAAGAGUAACGGAGGAGCACGAAGGUUGGCUAAUCCUGGUCGGACAUCAGGAGGUUAGUGCAAUGGCAUAAGCCAGCUUAACUGCGAGACAGACACGUCGAGCAGGUACGAAAGUAGGUCAUAGUGAUCCGGUGGUUCUGUAUGGAAGGGCCAUCGCUCAACGGAUAAAAGGUACUCCGGGGAUAACAGGCUGAUACCGCCCAAGAGUUCAUAUCGACGGCGGUGUUUGGCACCUCGAUGUCGGCUCAUCACAUCCUGGGGCUGAAGUCGGUCCCAAGGGUAUGGCUGUUCGCCAUUUAAAGUGGUACGCGAGCUGGGUUUAGAACGUCGUGAGACAGUUCGGUCCCUAUCUGGUGUGGGCGUUGGAUGAUUGAAGGGAGCUGCUCCUAGUACGAGAGGACCGGAGUGGACGAACCGCUGGUGUUCGGGUUGUUUUGCCAAAGGCAUUGCCCGGUAGCUACGUUCGGAAUCGAUAAGCGCUGAAAGCAUCUAAGCGCGAAGCGAGCCCUAAGAUGAGUCAUCCCUGUACAUUUAAUGUACCUAAAGGGUUGUUGAAGACUACGACGUUGAUAGGCAGGGUGUGGAAGCGUAGCAAUGCGUUGAGCUAACCUGUACUAAUUGCCCGUGAGGCUUAACCAU
rnacentral:rRNA from 1 species